rnacentral:tmRNA from 1 species
GGGGGCGAACAGGUUUCGACCGGAUAGGCGAAGCGUAAGUGGCGUGUCGUGGUUGAUCAGCAGGCCACGUUAAAAGCUGAUCACGACCUUCAAUUGCCGAAGGUUCCUACGCUUUGGCUGCCUAAAUAUAGGCAACCCGGGCUAAGGGCUGAUGUCGGAUCGGCCCGGACGCCCGUCACCAAUUCCGACUAGUCGCCGGUCAUUGCCGGGCACGCCGGCGGCGAAAUUAAGUUCCUAGCUAGUUCUCGCGGAGCCCUGUCGACGAGGCGCCGCGGCGAGCGAAAUCAAACUCGACGACUACACACGUAGAAGCUUGCGUGGAGAUAUCUCGGCACGCGGGUUCGAUUCCCGCCGCCUCCACUG